UAUACAUACGUAUAGAUAGAUAGAUAGAUAGAUAGAUAGAUAGAUAGAUAGAUAGAUAGAUAGAUAGAUAGAUAGAUAGAUAGAUAGAUAGAUAGAUAGAUAGUACAGUACAGUACAGUACAUUACAAUAUACCAAACCAUCUUUCCCUGGUAAAGUGAGUGAGCGAUAGGGAGCCAUCAUUUCCGAAUAGAUGAUCUUUGAACAUUUGCUUCCAUUGGCUAAAUCUGUUGACCGCCUCAACUAAGCAAAUAAAUAAGACAUGAACUGUUCUGCUUCCUCCAACCCCGCAUUUUUGCGGCAACCGGCCCAGCUCUUAAUUAUUGAAGCAGUGCCACCCUGGUGGUCUGAGACCUGCACAGUAAUCUGUGAUGCUCUUGAAAACUUCCUGACCCUGGUGUGUAGUCUGGGUGGGCCCUGUCAGCUUCCACUCCUCAGCAUUUAUGCCGUCACCAGUCAGCAGAAAUGUCUGCUUCCUUUGGUGACAGUUGAGGGUAACCUGCCCAGGUUGCUUUCCUGCGUGGGGAUGUUGCGGUCCAUCCCAAGCGAAGGCAUUACUGUGGAACUCGCCAGAGCAGGCCAGAUGCUGCGAGAGGCCGUGCUGGAGAGCGUGGAAUGUUUUCAACAACGCUUGAGAUUUUUUAAGACCGGCAUCCAAGGCGACAGCACCACAUGUAUUGAGGUUACCGUGGUGACCAGCCGUCCAGGACUAGGGUUGGUUUAUCUUUUGGAAAAUGUGCUCAAGGAUGACAACCUCAGGCCAGUCAUUAUUAUCCGGGUGGAACGGCUCCGCAUUGACAAGAAGUUCUCUCUCGAUGUGCUCCCACCUGAGGAUCCAAAGUGGGCCUGUAGUUCAGUUCCUCUCGCAGAACGUCGAGUGCCAGUGGACCUGGUUGAGGUGGAAAACAACGUGUUUGCUGUGGAGGAAAUAUUCAAGGAAUGGCUCCGAAAGUACACCGGGCCAACAGAACACAUCAGAGUCGUACUGGAAAGCGAGCGGAGCAGUCCCAAUCCAGUGUACCUCAAGUGUGACAUGCGGGAGCGUCUCAUCAGUCCCAGUCUCCUAGCACUGAACUUCACGGAGAAGCCCGAGAGCCUUUGUGAUGUCGUGUCUGUCAGUCAAGUACCACGGAUUUGGAGACCAAUUAAGGUUCUGUACACCAGCGGCCUGUGUCAAAGUCUGUUGUACGGCCUGCCCCUGGUCAUCUACCCGACCAGCUCCUUUAAACUGGACUUCAACGAGACUGAGAUCAACCAGCAGAUGUUUCAAGCUCUCAACCACACACUCAGGCACCAUGGCCAGGUUUUGCUGCUCCAGGAAGUACCCACUGACAUGGCCAAAGGUUGGUUGUCUUUGUGCAUCCUUCAGCCCUGUCCUUCGUUCAACAUGCUCCUGAAGCCGGUGGUCUGCCAAGAGUUGUUGCUGCCUUGCCCCUUCCCUGAACCAAUGCGGGAGACUUCAUCGGAUGCCUUGCUCUUCAUUAAGAGUUUCCUCAGCCAAAUGGAUGAGGAGGAUGUGUUGAUCCCCAGCUCUCUGAGCACUAAUCUGUACCAGUACCUUCGGACUGUCCUGGUUCCCAAGACCCAAUGCUACUCAAGCGCUUCAAGCAUUCACCCUGCUACCCACUCAGACCAGCCUCAACAACCAGAGGGCGGUGAAGCCACAGCCAGCGUUCAACCUCAUCAGGCUUGCAAGAAGGUAAUUGUCGCUGUGACCCCCCAGCUGAAGACCCCGCCAAACACUCACACUCCCCGACUGAGACCUCCGCCUGUGUUGAGACGACGUCGACUCGUGGCCUUGUUGAAGAGGAUGUCACUUGACAACAAUGACCGGGCAGCACCACCCGCGGAUCGGCACGGAUCUGACGAGAACACCAACACAGGAAGGCACUGAUGGGUGGACGGUGAAGAAAGAAACGGACGGACGUGUUGAAUUCAAUUGAAGCGCAUUUCAAUAGUUUAAUUUGAAGAACAGAGUUUUUUGGAAGCCACUGUGAGUCAAAACACCACAAAGACCUCCGCGUGGCGGCCAGAGGAGACGCCCCGGCCGGGCGCUCCCCGGUGCCUCCCGCUGCGCGGCAACUAAGACAUCGUCCUCCCACACCUCGCCGGCAACGGUGAGACCGGCAGACCCGCAGCUGGUGGCGAAGCUUCCAGCCCAGAGGGAGGAGGAGUCUCCAAAUCAUGAGGCGUUCUACCGUGAAAUGCGGGCGGAGAUAGAGCGGCAGAGCGCGGAAUUGGCGGCUCUCACGGCCCAGGUCCGGCAAGGAUUGGCGAACCAGCCGAGCUACUCUGACGUCGCAACGGCGACGGACUCGCUGCUGAUGCAGGUUCACGUGGCAGUUGGAACUGACCCGCUCCCGAGACACGCCCACGUGUCAGUUUCGACUGACUCCGCCUGCUCAGGUUCACGUUGCAGUGGAAACCGACCCGCCCCCUUGCCAAGUGCACGCCGCAGUGGGAACGCACUCGCCACCUCGCCAAGCGCACGUGGCUGUGGAAACCGACCCGCCCCCUUGCCAAGUGCAUGCUGCAGUGGGAACGGACUCGCCAGCUCAAGUGCACGUCGCAGUGGGUACAGACUCGCCACCUCGCCAAGCGCACGUAGCUGUGGAAACUGACCCGCCUCCUCGCCAUUCCCACGUCGAGGUUUUGGCUGUUCCGAGCAGAGUUCACGCGGCAGUCGGAACUGACCUCCUCCCGAGACACGCCCACGUGUCAGUUUCGACUGACUCUCUGCCGACUCUAAUGGUUUGUACCAGGGCUAAACUCUUCCACUUCUGUUGUAAUGACGUGUGUGGUGGUGUCCAUUCCUUGUGUAGUGCAUUUAGUUUGUCAGUCAGUCUUGUUCUUGUCACCACGACUGAUAUACCAUCUGAGUACAGAUAAUCAUGAUUUUGUCUGGUGUGGGCUGUUAUAAGUUUAUCUUAUACUACAUUGUCACAUGCAAUGAGUCACUUCCUACGUCAUUUUGUGGUUGUUCAAUCACGUCUUGAGCUGUUUGCAGCAAGAAAUCUGUUCUUGUGGGAGGUUUGUUUGGAAUAUGUAAGGUAUAAUAAUAGAGCGCUGGAUUCCUAUUUUGUAACUGUCCUCCCAGUAAUUCCUUUUUUUCUUUUUACUUCUUUUUUUCCUGUCAGAGAGGGAAUUCAGCGCAGUCCUAGUUUCAGCAAGCCAUCUCUUCCCAAAAAAACGUAUGGGACAAAUUAAAAAGUUGCAUUUUAUGAGCAUUAGUUGUGACAUUUUUGAUGGGGAGAUGGCUGCUCUCUUCCUCAUCUGCAGCCACAAUUAUUAAAUGU